GACGAACGCUGGCGGCGUGCCUAAUACAUGCGAGUAGAACGCUGAAGGAGGAGCUUGCUUCUCUGGAUGAGUUGCGAACGGGUGAGUAACGCGUAGGUAACCUGCCUGGUAGCGGGGGAUAACUAUUGGAAACGAUAGCUAAUACCGCAUAAGAUUGACUAUUGCAUGAUAGUCAGUUAAAAGGUGCAAUUGCAUCACUACCAGAUGGACCUGCGUUGUAUUAGCUAGUUGGUGGGGUAACGGCUCACCAAGGCGACGAUACAUAGCCGACCUGAGAGGGUGAUCGGCCACACUGGGACUGAGACACGGCCCAGACUCCUACGGGAGGCAGCAGUAGGGAAUCUUCGGCAAUGGACGGAAGUCUGACCGAGCAACGCCGCGUGAGUGAAGAAGGUUUUCGGAUCGUAAAGCUCUGUUGUAAGAGAAGAACGAGUGUGAGAGUGGAAAGUUCACACUGUGACGGUAUCUUACCAGAAAGGGACGGCUAACUACGUG
rnacentral:rRNA from 1 species